AGAGUUUGAUCCUGGCUCAGAUUGAACGCUGGCGGCAUGCCUUACACAUGCAAGUCGAACGGUAACAGGCCGCAAGGUGCUGACGAGUGGCGAACGGGUGAGUAAUGCAUCGGAACGUGCCCAGUAGUGGGGGAUAGCCCGGCGAAAGCCGGAUUAAUACCGCAUACGACCUACGGGUGAAAGCGGGGGAUCGCAAGACCUCGCGCUAUUGGAGCGGCCGAUAUCAGAUUAGCUAGUUGGUGGGGUAAAAGCCCACCAAGGCGACGAUCUGUAGCUGGUCUGAGAGGACGACCAGCCACACUGGGACUGAGACACGGCCCAGACUCCUACGGGAGGCAGCAGUGGGGAAUUUUGGACAAUGGACGCAAGUCUGAUCCAGCCAUGCCGCGUGCGGGAAGAAGGCCUUCGGGUUGUAAACCGCUUUUGUCAGGGAAGAAAAGUCUUGGGUUAAUACCUCGGGACGAUGACGGUACCUGAAGAAUAAGCACCGGCUAACUACGUGCCAGCAGCCGCGGUAAU
rnacentral:rRNA from 1 species